rnacentral:lncRNA from 1 species
CCAUUACAGAGUCAGCCAUUACAGGUUAUUUCUGCCUCUUGUUGCACUAGAGGGUCUCAGGAGUAGACCAACCUGGGGUUGGGAGAUCCACUUUCAACUUGUCAGUCUGAUUGACACUGAGAGCUUAGUUAGGAUGUGGACUGGGAUGCUGGUUCCUCUCUCCAUGGGUCUUUCCAUGGGCUGCUUGGGCUCCCCAUGCAAAUAUGCUGGCUGGGUCAUAGGAGCAACCAUGCCAAGAAAAUAGGUGGAAAUAGUAUGAUCUUUUACAGACUACCCUUGAAAACCACACUUGGUUACUUCUGCUGAAUUUAUACAUCUACCCAAUUCAAGGAGAGGGAAACUAGCCCCUGCCUCUGAAUGGGAGGAGUGGAAAAAUCACAUUGUAAGAAGAGUAAGAAGAACAUUUGGGAGGACAGUUAUAGUUGUGGCCCUUAUUAAGAAUAAUACUACCUAUCACAUACUCAUCAGUAUACUUGAGGAAACCUAAAAAUUCACAAUUGAUAAUAUGAAGUAUUUUUAUUUGCUGUUUGGAGUAUGUGUGCAUGAUAUUGUUUGGUUCUGGAAUUUUGGGGUUCAAGUUGGAUAGAGGUGAGAAGAAAUGUUUCUUUGUAGAGCAUAAACUAAAAUAGACCUUGUCAGAACUCUUGUUUGCUUGUUCCUAAGGAAAUGGGCAAUUUAGGAGGUGGGGGGUGAAUGAAUGUUUUCUUGUGGGUAAGGCAGGUUGAAAUUUACUUAUAUGAGAAGAAGGACAGGGCAUAGCAUAGAUGCUGAAAGAAAUAAUUUUAAAAUAGUCAGGUGACAACCAGAAUUGCUUAGAAGAUCAACGAAUUAAAUAUGGCUGAGGUAUUAAUAGAGGGACCUUUGCUCUCACCAUAUAGAAUCUAGUGAUUCUCUGGAGUGUUUAAGAACAUGGUGAUAUUUGCUCAUAGCUUUGAUGUAGACAUAGGCAUCUUAGGACUGUCACAUCCACAGGACCACUUGUGAGGCUUCCCUAGGUACUCCUGAAGGUGGAGGACCUCAACUCGAUACAAUUGUAGCAAAAAAGAGGAGCACAGCAGAUGCCUUUGGAGAUGGCAUUUGGCAGAACACGUUCGUGAAUACAUUACAGAUAUUCUCUCUGGGGGUUCAAGAAAUAAUUUCAGAAUAAUUCUGGUGGUGUAUUUCCUAAGGGAGGAAUUGUUUUGACAUACUACAAUUAUAAGGGCUUCAAGCCACUGUAAUGUAUGCAUAAAAAUUAAUGUGAUGUCAUUUUAUAUUCACCACCUGUAUUGGCCUGGAUAUCAGUUUCCACAGCUACCAUCCAGGGUCAAACACUGUGACUUGCCUUCUUCCUGGAGACUUGUUACCUAGGAUUUGUUGUCUCUGAAAGCAAGUGAAAGAGUACCUAGGAGAAGUGGUAUGCUGACCACCUUAGUCAGAAUAACAAUACCAGUUUGGGCUAUUUUAUUUUUAUUUUUAUUUUUUUUCAGUAAAGAGUAAUACAUCAUCUAAAUUUUAUGAAGAAAACAGAGAAAAACAUUUCGGUCAUCUGUCUGAGAAGAUCAUUUUUUAUGAAUGAUAAUCUGGUACAACCAAAAGACACUUUUUAGACCAACAGGAAAUACUAUGAAUAAACAAUUAUGCUGGUACUAUGUUGGUUGUACUAUGAACCCUGUUUUUCAUUAGUUAUUUUUCUUAGCUCUUUGUUUAAAAGCCAGGAUUUCAACAACUCCAGUAUUCUCUCAUAUAAAGCCCUCCAUUCUAUAAACAGUGGGACAAAUAUAUUAGUAUAAGAGAUAACAAAACACAUGAAUGAGAGCACCCCAGGAUGGAAGAUGUUCACUGUGCAAAAGCCUUUGAAGAAAGACAUUGCUUCUCAGAAGGAGUUAUAAAUUUGCUGUGAACAAGACAAGACUAGCACGAAGUUUUAAAUCACUUCUUAUAUAUAAGCUCUUUGACAGGCACGCAUGAAAGUGAAAUAAAGAACACUUGAGAAAAUCUAAACUAGCUAUCUGAAAAUUGUGUUUUUAAAGAAAGAAUCACUAAGAAAGAACACACCUCAUCACCUCUCAACUUCAUCAGAACUUGGAGACUUUUAAAUGGACAUGCCCUCUCUAACCAUUUAUGGUCUCCUCCACCUACUUGGACCCUCCUCCUUUUGUCCAGAAGGCUAUUAUUUUAAGAUUCAGCUCAAAGGUUGACUCCAGAUGGAAGUUUUGCCUGACUCUUCUUCCCAACAUUUCCACCCCAAGACCUAGCUUUGGCCAAGUCUCCUUCCUUUUGGGACCCAGCUGGAAUAUUUAAUCUCUAUAUUCUCUUUGUUGGUUUACUUUUCUCAUCCACCUUCCUGUUCCGAAUCCAACAUACAUCCAGUGACUACAACAUAAAGUCUUUUAAGCAGGAGUAAUAGAGUCUCUACUCUUCUAUCAUCUGUAUUCAGUACAAUAUCUGACACUGAGCAGAUGGGUGCCUAAUCAUGCUCCCAUAAAUGAUUCAAUGUGCAAGAAGCAAAUCAAUGCAUACAUUC